rnacentral:lncRNA from 1 species
GACCACAUUGGAGCGCGAGUGAAACAAGGGGGUUUAAAAAUGGAAUUUACCCAAAUUCCUGAACCCAGCAUUUAAUAUGGACCAAAUUAAAAGUUGCACAAAAUUUCUGGGCGAAAUUCAAAAAAAAAAGUGAAGCAGAUUUGGGCAGCAUUAAAUGCACAGGGAUUUAGUGUGCAAAUUGACCCUUUAAGGGCAAAACACGCGGGCCCCAUCCCUUUACAAUCAAAUAAACCCUUUACCCCCUCCCCAAACAAUUUGCUACUGCACGUUGCAAGCAAAACCAGGGAAAAGGGCAGGCCUUCUCUUCCCUUUUCCUUUGGCUGGGGUUUUGAAUCCCCAAAUGCCACUGACACUAAACCGGAGCCCGACCGACGAAAGUCAAUCCACGAAGGUAAGUAUUCCUUUCUUUAUUCCCUUAUUUCCGUAUAUAUACAAAGAAAACAAAACGAAAAUGAAAUUAAAAGCUAGAAAUAUAAAAAUAGGAAUUUACCCAAAAGAAAUCUCUAACCUAAUUUCCUUCUGAUAUUGUAUUCGAAAUUUUUUUCUAUUUCUUGCUUGGAUCGUGCCUUUACACCCAAAAAAACUCUCUGCUCCUCUUCUUUUACAUAUGAUUUUCGGCUUUAUAUAGCCUUUGUUUACAAUGUUUUUUGUUACUUGUUUUGCAAAUCUGUGCGAGAAUCUCGGAGCCGUGAUGGAGUGGGACGUCGACGUGGCAUGGUGGAGCGAUGUGCGGCGCGCGUGGUGGCUACCGGUGAGAGACAUGCGGCGUUGAAACUAUUUGGGGAUGCUGUUCUUAUUUUUGUUGUUAGGGGUUUUUGGGUAGUUUAGUUUAGUUGGGCUGAAUAAAAUUGGGCUGGGUUUUGUUUUAGUGGUUAAUUUGUUUAGGCCUAGGUUUGUUUAAAAAUUUGGUCCUACAGCUGUCCCUCUUUGCUCAUUGUCGUGUAAUGAGAAUAGAGUAAAGAUUUUAGGAAGACCAAAUUUGUUUGGGCUGGCUGAGUCUUGUCUUUUUUGUCACAGCCCACCGCACUUUAUUGCUUCAAAAAUGCUCUUUUGUUGCUUCAUGUAAAUGAGAUUUGCUGAAAUUUGAUCUGCUCCGCUCCUGCUCAGCGAAGAUAAGAUUCGCUGUAUCUGACUUGCUCUACUCUUGUUCAACGGAGAUAAGAUCUGAUAUAUUUAGCCUGCUUCACUCCUGCUCAGUGAAGAUAAGGCUGAUGAUUAGAAUCUGCUCCAUCAUCAGUACGUGAAGAUUCACCAAAAUUCGAUCUGCUCUGCUCUUGCUCAACGAAGAUAAGAUCUGCUAUAUUUAACCUGCUUCACUCCUGCUCAGUGAAGAUAAGGCUGAUGAUUGGAAUCUGCUCCAUCGCCAGUACGUGGAGAUAAGAUUCGCCAAAAUUCGAUCUGCUCCGCUCCUGCUCAGCGAAGAUAAGAUCUGCUAUAUUUAGCCUGCUUCACUCCUGCUCAGUGAAGAUAAGGCUGAUGAUUGGAAUCUGUUAUAUGUAGGACCAAAUUUAUGCCCGGGACCAAUAAGCAGAGCCCAGAACACCAACCAUCCAAUUAGCACCCACUAAACUGACCACUAACUCCUAAACUACCCCACUAAGCCACCCCACUAACUCCAUCACCCUACUAAGCUACCCCACUAACUCUAUUACCCUACUUGUCACCAUGGAAGGAGGCAAUCAAUUGUAAAAUUUGGCUAUAAAAGCCAUUCAAAACUAUUGUAAAGGGGGUUGGUUUUUGGAGAUUAAUCAAAGAUCAAAGCAAAAGAGUUUUUUUUUUGUCUAUUCUUGUUUUAAGUUAUUUGUUUGUCUAUUUUUUCAUUUCAAUUUUAUUUUAUUUUUUUUAUACGAAAGUAAAAAUAAAGGGACGAAACUUACCCAUUUUAAAAUUACCGAAAAAGGAUUUUUUUGAGGUUCGGCUGCCGUGUACGGUGGCGCCGAUAGUGGCUCAUGGGGGUUUGGUGACCGGAGCAAGGUCGGACUGAUGGCCGGAUUUAGAUGGGAGGGGGAGAGUAUUAUUAUUAUUAUUAUUAUUUUAUUUUAUUUUAUUACUUUUACUAUUAUUUUAUAUAUAUUUAUUACCAUUAUUUAUUUAUUAUUAUUAGUAACAUAUUGUUAUUUUUAUUAUUAUAAUUUUUAUUAUUAUAAUGGCACUAUAUUAACUAGUUUUGUACUGUUAUUACAUUCAUCACUUCUGUUAUUACUACUGUUCUUAAUUUUCUUUAUGCUUGCUAUAUUUUAGGUAUUAAUAUAUGUUAUUAGGGUUAUUAUAUUGCUAUUUUCAUAUUGCAUGUUAUCAUUUUUUAAGUUUCAGCCGCCCAAAUUCAUUUUAUUCAAAGAUUUAUCCUCGAUUGUUUUCAAAAUAAAUGCAAUGUUCGAUAUUUAGGAUCCAUGGGAGGAUUGUGCCCUAACUUACUGGGUUCUAAUUUUCCUUGUUGAAUCUAAAUAACCGAGUACCCUUCUCAAAUUUAAUUGUAUGAAGUUCGAAUAAAAAACCUAUUCUUAAAAAUUCGGGAUGUUACACCCUAACUCACUGGGUGUGGCGUUGCGUUAUAUUGAGGAUAAUGAUUUCCAAAAUCAAGGCAAUAUUCGGUAUUUGGGAGUUUUGAGAGAUUGCGUUCUAACUUACUGAGCAUCAAUUUUUCACAAGGCUCGGAUGACCGAAUACCCUUCUCUUGAACCUCCUUACAUGAAUUGUAAAAUCGAAGACCAACUUAAUUCCGAAGGUCUGAAAUGUUGGACCCUAACUUACUGGGUAUGGCAUUCUUUCCUUCGAAAUGAGUAGGUCUUUACAUUUUAUUCGAAUAAUCUCGAUUUUCUUUCAAAUAAAAGGAUCGUACUCUAAAAUCUUUUCAAAUUUCGACAUCAAGACAUCAACUAAUCAAAUAGGUACCAAUUUCUGGGCGUUACGAGGGUGCUAAUCCUUCCUCGUACGUAACCGACUCCCGAGCCCAUUUUUUCAAACUUAUCAGACCAAAAAAAAUUAUUGUUUUAAUAGGCUCAGAUGUUUUAUUAAAACGAUUGAUUUUAAGGUGGCUCAAUCUCACUUUGGAAAAGAUUGGUGGCGACUCCAUUUACAUUUUUAAAGUCGAUCCACGUUUUUCAAAUUUAAAAUGGUUUCGACAGCUGGCUGUCCCUCUUUGCUCGUUGUCAUGUAAUGGGAACGAAGCAAAUAUUACAAAGGCCAAUUUUGCCCGGUCCUGUCAGAUCUUGGCUUCUUGGUGUAACCUUAUCGCAACCCGCUGCAUCCUAUUACUUCCAAAUGUCUCCUAGCUGUUUCAUGAAGGUAUGAUUUGUUGGAACUUUAUCUGCUCCGCUCUUGCUCAACGAAGAUAAGAUCUGCAAUUUAGCCUGCUCACUCUUGCUCAGUGAAGAUAAGGCUGAUGAUUGGAAUCUGCUCUAUUGCCGGUACGUGGAGAUAAGAUUCACCAAAAUUUGAUCUGCUCCGCUCCUACUCAGCGAAGAUAAGACCUGGUAUUUAGCCUGCUCCACUCCUACUUAGUGAAAAUAAGGCUGAUGAUUGGAAUCUGCUCCAUCGCCGGUACGUGGAGAUAUGAUUCACCAAAAUUUGAUCUGCUCCGCUCCUGCUCAACGAAGAUAAGACCUGGUAUUUAGCCUGCUCCACUCCUACUCAGUGAAGAUAAGGCUGAUGAUUAGAAUCUGCUCCAUCGCCGGUACGUGGAGAUAAGAUUCACCAAAAUUUGAUCUGCUCCGCUCCUGCUCAAUGAAGAUAAGACCUGGUAUUUAGCCUGCUCCACUCCUGCUCAGUGAAGAUAAGGCUGAUGAUUGGAAUCUGCUCCAUCGCCGGUACGUGGAGAUAUGAUUCACCAAAAUUUGAUCUGCUCCGCUCCUGCUCAACGAAGAUAAGACCUGGUAUUUAGCCUGCUCCACUCCUACUCAGUGAAGAUAAGGCUGAUGAUUAGAAUCUGCUCCAUCGCCGGUACGUGGAGAUAAGAUUCACCAAAAUUUGAUCUGCUCCGCUCCUGCUCAACGAAGAUAAGACCUGGUAUUUAGCCUGCUCCACUCCUGCUCAGUGAAGAUAAGGCUGAUGAUUGGAAUCUGCUCCAUCGCCGGUACCUGGAGAUAAGAUUCACCAAAAUUUGAUUUGCUCUGCUCUUGCUCAGCGAAGAUAAGACCUGGUAUUUAGCCUGCUCCACUCCUACUUAGUGAAAAUAAGGCUGAUGAUUGGAAUCUGCUCCAUCGCCGGUACGUGGAGAUAUGAUUCACCAAAAUUUGAUCUGCUCCGCUCUUGCUCAGCGAAGAUAAGACCUGGUAUUUAGCCUGUUCCACUCCUGCUAAGUAAAGAUAAGGCUGAUGAUAUCUGUAAUCCUGCUACAUUGUCCAUUGGGGAAUCCAUCUGUGGAAGAGUGAUAUGCUUAUGCUAGAUGAUUAGGAUGCCAAAUAUGAAUCAAAUGCUCCUAACUACAUGUAUUAUGGAUGUUAAAUGCACAAAAUGCAAAAUGUCAUGAGAAUGAUCCAUUUUUACUUUUUGGGUUGUCAUCCCUUGUUGUUUACUAAGGUAACAUCCCUAACAUAUGCCUUCUUGUUUAGCUCGGUAGAAGAGGACUUGAAGAUGCGGUUAGUCCCUUAUUUCUCACACGUUUCUAGCCUUUUUAAGCUCGGUGAGUUCUAAAUAACUGUCCUGUUUCAGGUUCUCGUAUUGUUUAGAAACCUUUCAGAGUAAUAUGCAAAACCUUCUUUUGAGAGCAUUAUUAGUUCAUUAAUCAUUAUUUCAAUGAAAAUACUUGAAAAAGAUUAUAAUGAUAGGUAGAACUGAAAUUUAUUCGAGUCAAAAUUUACGAAAGAUGUAUCAACAAAGAAAGCAGACAUUGUUUGAGAUACAAAAACGAAUGAAAAUGAAUAAAAUAGGUGUCCCAGAUUUCGCAGUUUGAGCUUCCCUGUAGAACUCCUCGGGGACCCUUUUAAACUUGGCACGCGCUCAAGGGAUCUAUAGGAUUUUGUUGAUGCCCCAAGAUGUAGCUUAUCUCCUCUUUGUCGAUUCAAGUGUAGUGAGACUUUUGCUUGCCCCAGUUUGGAUCGAAAUUUGAAUUGCCCUUUGCGGGUUUUCAAUUCAAAACCCAUUUGGUCAUAAGGUGCCCUUUUACGAGUCUUCACCUUGGCCUCUCCCUUCUUUUUUUUUUGGUGCCCUUUACGGGUUUUUACCUCAACUGCUUCAAGCAAAAUAUCUUUUGACAGAAUCUAAAUUUAUUGGGUUAGGCAAGCUUUUGCCAUCCAUCUCUGCUAGUAUCAAUGCCCCUCCAGAGAAAGCGUUCUUUACCACAUAGGGUCCUUCCCAAUUUGGCAUCCAUUUCCCCUUGAAAUCUUUUUGCAUAGGGAGAAUCUUUUUCAAUACUAAGUCCCCCUCAUGGAACACUCUAGGGCGAACUUUUUUGUUGUAGGCUCGCAUCAUUCUCCUCUGGUACAUUUGACCAUGACGAAUAGCCUUCAGCCUCUUUUCUUCAAUCAAGUUUAGUUGAUCGUAACGAGAUUGGAUCCAUUCUGCUUCAUCUAACUUCAGCUCUGAUAAAAAUCGGAGGGAAGGGAUUUCGACCUCAAUAGGUAAAACUGCCUCCAUCCCAUAGACCAAUGAGAAAGGUGUUGCCCCUGUAGAAGUCCUAACAGAUGUCUGAUAAGCAUAAAGGGCAAAUGGGAGCUUUUCAUGCCAAUCUUUGUAAGUCUCCGCCAUCUUCCCCACAAUCUUCUUAAUAUUCUUAUUAGCUGUCUCAACCGUCCCGUUCAUUUUCGGGCGGUAUGGUGAUGAGUUGUGAUGUUUAAUGUUGAACCGACUGCAGACUUAUACUAUUACGCUAUUGUUCAGAUUCAACGCGUUGUCAGAUACGAUUCUUUCUGGCAUACCAUAACUACAUACGAUUUCCUUCUUCAGGAACUUGCUGACCGCCGGCUUUGUGAUAUUGGCGUACGAAGCAGCCUCUACCCAUUUGGUAAAGUAGUCAAUGACCACAAAAAUGAAUCGAUAUCCGUUGGAAGCCUUUGGCGAAAUUGGCCCAAUGAUGUCCAUGCCCCACAUUGAGAAUGGCCAUGGGGAAGUCAUAACAUGGAGGGGUGAAGGAGGCACAUGGAUCUUAUCUCCAUAAAUUUGACACUUAUGGCACUUCUUAGCAUAGUUGAUGCAAUCUCCUUCCAUUGUAGACCAGUAAUAUCCGAAUCUCAUGAUUUGUCGAGCCAUUGUGAAACCAUUGACAUGUGUCCCACAGACACCAUCAGGGACCUCCUCUAGAAUUUUCUUUGCCUCAAUAGUAUCAACACAUCUUAACAACACCUGAUUCUUUCUUUUCUUAUAUAGGACCUCACCGUCUAGGACAUAGUCACUGGCUAACCUUCUCAAUGUUCUUUUAUCAUUUUCGGUUGCUUGAUCUGGGUACGCACGGCUCUUCUCAUAUUGUAAGAUAUCAUGAUACCAAGGACGAUCAUCUCUCUCUUCCUCUUCAUUGACAUUACAGCAGUGAGCUGAAGCCUCACCAAUACUCAUCUGAACUGGCUUCAUAUUCUCCUGUUCAUUUACUUUGAUCAUGGAAGUUAGUGUAGCCAAUGCGUCAGCCAUCUGAUUCUCGUCUCGCGGGAGGUAAUGAAAGGUAAUAUCAUCGAACUCUUCAAUUAAUUCCAGGAUUAACUUUCGGUAACUGAUCAAUUUGGGAUCUCUCGUUUCCCACUCGCCUUUAAGCUGAUAAAUUACCAAUGCAGAAUCUCCAUAUACUUCUAAUACUUUGAUUUCGCGGUCUAUAGCUGCCCGAAUUCCCAUGAUACAUGCCUCGUAUUCUGUCAUGUUAUUUGUGCAGUCAAAAUUCAGCUUGCAAGUGAACGUAUAAUGAUCUCCAUUUGGGGAUAUCAGUACUGCCCCAACUCCAUUUCCAACGGCAUUUGACGCUCUGUCAAAAUUUAGUUUCCAAGAAUGAUCUUCAGGCAUGUCUCAUUCAGCGAUUGUUACAUACAUUAGAUCUUCAUUGGGAAAAUUAAAAUUCAAAGGUUCAUAGUCCUCCAAAGCUCUACUAGCUAGGAAAUCUGCUAUUGCACUCUAUUUCACAGCUUUUUGGUUUAUAUAGACUAUGUCAAAUUCGGAGAGCAGAAUCUGCCAUCGGGCCAUCCUUCCAUUUAAAGCGGUUGACUCCAUCAUGUAUUUGAGAGGGUUUAACUUUGAGAUUAGCCAAGUUGUAUGGUACAACAUGUAUUGCCUCAAUCUUCGUGUUGUCCAAACCAAAGCACAGCAUAGCUUUUCAAUUGGCGGGUACCUCAUUUCACACUCAGUGAAUUUUUUACUGAGGUAAUAUAUCGCUCUUUCUUUUCUCCCAGUCUCAUCGUGUUGGCCGAGCACACACCCCAUCGAAUUAUCAAAUACUGUUAAGUAUAGUAUCAAUGGCCUACCAGGACUUGGUGGUGUUAGCACUGGGGGACUGGACAAAUAUUGUUUAACCUUUUCAAAGGUUUUUUGGCAUUCAUCAUCCCAUACCCUAGGAUUAUG